rnacentral:snRNA from 1 species
GCUUUCUUUGGCAGCACAUAUACUGAAAUUGGAAUGAUGCAGAGAAGAUUAGAGUGGCCCCUGCACAAGGAUGACAUGCAAAUUUGUGAAGCAUUCCAUAUUUAU